GACGAACGCUGGCGGCGUGCUUAACACAUGCAAGUCGUACGCUGAAGCUUGGUGCUUGCCCUGGGUGGAUGAGUGGCGAGCGGGUGAGUAAUACGUGAGUAACCUGCCCUUGACUCUGGGAUAAGCCUGGGAAACUGGGUCUAAUACUGGAUACGACAUGCCACUGCAUGGUGGUGUGUGGAAAGGGUUUUACUGGUUUUGGAUGGGCUCACGGCCUAUCAGCUUGUUGGUGGGGUAAUGGCCUACCAAGGCGACGACGGGUAGCCGGCCUGAGAGGGUGACCGGCCACACUGGGACUGAGACACGGCCCAGACUCCUACGGGAGGCAGCAGUGGGGAAUAUUGCACAAUGGGCGGAAGCCUGAUGCAGCGACGCCGCGUGAGGGAUGACGGCCUUCGGGUUGUAAACCUCUUUCAGCACGGAAGAAGCGAGAGUGACGGUACGUGCAGAAGAAGCGCCGGCUAACUACGUG
rnacentral:rRNA from 1 species